AGUUGCUACUAUAUGCCAUAUCUCAGCCCAGCCACGACUCGGUUUCCAGGGAAGCACCGCUAAAUACAAACAUGGCCGCUGAGGACUACACUUCCCACACACGCAUGCGCUCGCCUACCCGGAGUUCUAAUCACACAAACCUGCAUCUCAUUACAAACACACUCACACCACAGCAUAAGAGAGACCUUGGAAGCGAAGAGACUUUGCGAAGUAAUGUUCUGUUGACUUGUUUCUCAGCCAUUCUCCAAGCCCUUUUCACGUGUGUUUACUAAGUUACCUUUGACCAGUGUUUCCGUCCCCGACCUCGAUUUCUGCUUAGCCCCAUUUUGUUUGUUUGCCUGUUGGCCUGACCCUCGCCUGUUUAUCGACCACAAACUUUGUCUUUUCCCCUUGGAUUAUUCUGCCUGAUUCUGUCACCUGCAUCUGCUUCCGUCUCCACCCACGAUCAGAUUUCUGUCCUUGGGGAAAGAGAAAGACGAUAUCAGUUCUUACACAUGGUGACAGAACUUUGAGGAAACAUUGUGUAUUAGUAGUGGGCAGUGAUGACCUGGCUGAUUAUGCAUGAUGACACAACGUGUUCCGGGUGGCGUAGGCUGGUUCUGUGUUGGCAUACAAUAAUGAUCAACACAACUACAAUGGAUAUUUGGUGAAGUCUCUCCUGGAUAGAAUAACAGCACUGAACCAUGUCCUGUACUAUCUAAAACUGUUGGAGGCAUUUGUAGAAGAUUUUGGACCACUUCUCCAUACAGAGCAUUUCCAGCACAUUUAUAUUCU